GAUGAACGCUGGCGGCGUGCUUAACACAUGCAAGUCGAGCGAAGCACUUAAGUCCGAUUCUUCGGAUGAAGACUUUUGUGACUGAGCGGCGGACGGGUGAGUAACGCGUGGGUAACCUGCCUCAUACAGGGGGAUAACAGUUAGAAAUGGCUGCUAAUACCGCAUAAGACCACAGUACUGCAUGGUACAGUGGUAAAAACUCCGGUGGUAUGAGAUGGACCCGCGUCUGAUUAGGUAGUUGGUGAGGUAACGGCCCACCAAGCCGACGAUCAGUAGCCGAACUGGGAGGGUGACCGGCCACAUUGGGACUGAGACACGGCCCAGACUCCUACGGGAGGCAGCAGUGGGGAAUAUUGCACAAUGGGCGAAAGCCUGAUGCAGCGACGCCGCGUGAAGGAUGAAGUGUUUCGGCAUGUAAAGCUCUAUCAGCAGGGAAGAAAAUGACGGUACCUGACUAAGAAGCCCCGGCUAACUACGUGCCAGCCGCCGCCGUAA
rnacentral:rRNA from 1 species